rnacentral:rRNA from 1 species
UAGGGAAUCUUCGGCAAUGGGGGCAACCCUGACCGAGCAACGCCGCGUGAGUGAAGAAGGUUUUCGGAUCGUAAAGCUCUGUUGUAAGUCAAGAACGGGUGUGAGAGUGGAAAGUUCACACUGUGACGGUAGCUUACCAGAAAGGGACGGCUAACUACGUGCCAGCAGCCGCGGUAAUACGUAGGUCCCGAGCGUUGUCCGGAUUUAUUGGGCGUAAAGCGAGCG